ACAUGUAUUAGAAAAUGAGAACUCUGACAUAAGGUUAGGUGGCAGAGAAUAUGAGAACUUGACAUACAUUUUACAUAAUCAGAUAACUGCAAAACCAGAGCACAUGAGUUGAUGAGAAAUUUACCUGGUUUAGAAGUUGUGCAGGAUUUUCCUAAAGUCUUAGCAAAUCAUAAUUCACCGUGGGAAAUACAACACAUUUCACUUACAUAAGUUCUCGUGAAAAAGACUUGAUUCCGAAUAGUGUCACGCAAAUCUAUACCGUAGAAGACUGGAAAUGGACUGGCUUUACUUCUUUCGUGGUAUGCAACUAGAUUACUAGACAAAAAUUUUGUUAUGUAACACUCGGUCGGUCGGUGCCCAAAUUCCAAAUUUUGUUUUUAUAACAGUUCAGUGUCUGCCAACACUUUAUUUUACACUAGAAUCUUAUCGCUCAUCUGAUUGGUCCAGUGAUCCAAUUUUGGAAGAUUAAAAGUUGAAAAUCAUGUCAAAACGAAUCAAAAAUUAAAAUUGAUAAUUUAUAUAUUUGGCUCGAUUUAAAAAUUCAGAAAAGAUUUAGUUAUGUAGUAUUUUUUUAGGUAUAUUUAGAUUCUGUAAAUUAACAUCACUGGAAGAGUGUGUUGUGAUUUUGAGGUUAGGUUCUGCGCAUUAAGAAAACACAAAAGAAAACAUUACAGUGUGUGCACCCGAACAUUUAGCCGGACUGCUUUGAGUGUUUUAUGAAUAAAGUGAAGUAUUAUGGCCAGUAAAUUAAUAAAAUUAGGACUACAGCAUUGUAUAAUCGGUGCUUAUCAACGCGUGCCUCGAGCGCUGCCCACUGAGCAUCUCAAGUCACUGACAUCGCCCCAGUUUCUACAGAGUAGCCACAUCAGAUUAUUUUCUCUAUCUCCGAGGGUGAGACAGGACAGUGAAAAAGCUGAAGCUGCCGAGAUUGACCCUUCCAAAGAUAGGAGGGUUCCGAUUCCGGUCGAAACAAGCAUCAGAUAUUUGAAGAGUAAAGCUUACAGAGAAGCUUACGAAGACAAACCUGUUUGGUUUUUUAUCGAAGAAAUCAUAAAGGAUUAA
rnacentral:lncRNA from 1 species